rnacentral:rRNA from 1 species
CCAGACUCCUACGGGAGGCAGCAGUGGGGAAUAUUGCACAAUGGGGGAAACCCUGAUGCAGCGACGCCGCGUGAGUGAAGAAGUAUUUCGGUAUGUAAAGCUCUAUCAGCAGGGAAGAAAAUGACGGUACCUGAUUAAGAAGCCCCGGCUAACUACGUGCCAGCAGCCGCGGUAAUACGUAGGGGGCAAGCGUUAUCCGGAUUUACUGGGUGUAAAGGGAGCGUAGACGGGAGCACAAGUCUGGAGUGAAAUGGCGGGGCUUAACCCCGGAACUGCUUUGGAAACUGUGCAGCUAGAGGGCAGGAGAGGUAAGUGGAAUUCCUAGUGUAGCGGUGAAAUGCGUAGAUAUUAGGAGGAACACCAGUGGCGAAGGCGGCUUACUGGACUGUAACUGACGUUGAGGCUCGAAAGCGUGGGGAGCGAACAGGAUUAGAUACCCGAGUA